rnacentral:rRNA from 1 species
UAUGUGAUCGUCUCUCGCAUAUCAAUAAGCGGAGGAAAAGAAACUAACAAGGAUUCCCCUAGUAACGGCGAGUGAAGCGGGAAGAGCUCAAAUUUGAAAUCUUAAAGGGUUUCCCUUUACGAAUUGUAGUUUAAAGAAGUGUUUUCUGUUGAGGUUUUGGUAAAAGUUCUUUGGAAUAGGACAUCAUAGAGGGUGAGAAUCCCGUAUUUGACCUUUACUUUCAACUUUGUGAUACACUUUCAAAGAGUCGGAUUGUUUGGGAAUGCAGUCCAAAAUGGGUGGUAAAUUUCAUCUAAAGCUAAAUAUUGGCGAGAGACCGAUAGCGAACAAGUACCGUGAGGGAAAGAUGAAAAGAACUUUGAAAAGAGAGUUAAACAGUACGUGAAAUUGUCAAAAGGGAAGCGUUUGACACCAGUGUUGUUUUUCUGAAAAUCAAUUAAAGAACUGUUUAUGCUAAGCUGUUUAGACUUUAUCAGCUAACUGUUUAGUUUUGAGCUUUUCUUUAAUGCACUUUUCAGUUAACAAGUCAACAUCAAUUUCUUUUGCUGUAAAAAAGCUUGAGGAAGGUGGCUUGAGAUUCGUCUUAAGUGUUUAUAGCCUCUUGCCUAUGCAGUCGGAGAGAUUGAGGUCUGCAGCGUAGAUCCUUCGGGGCUAAAUGCAUUUGUGCUAAGUUAUAGCAUUUUAUAGACAACUUGUUGACUAUGACUUGUCUUGUAGCUUACUCGCUUAUGUUAUUUUACCUACGCUUAGGAUGUUGAGUAGCGACAUACGCAC